GACAGCAGCUUCAGCCUCACCCUCGUUUGGAGAAGUGUGUUGGCUGGGGGAAAGCCGCAUGACCCGAGCAGCCAGCACAGAAUGUCCUGGGGCUGCUUCACCCCGCGCAGCUGGGCUGCGGCUGGGUUACAUCUGCUCUGUACGUCCAGGGAGAGUGUGACUUCCACUGGUUUCCCAGCACAAGGUCUAUUAGAUGAGACUUCACAACACAACUAGCUGGACAAUAUUUAUUUUACAGCCUCAUCAGAGAAGAAGAUUUCUUUAGAGUCUGCUCAACUGGCUAGGAAUAUUGGGAAAAAAAGGAGCUCUAUGCAAGUUACAGUUUUGUAUCAGACAUCAUGGGAGAACGUCUGUUCAGUCCUCUGUUGAAACUGCCUUUAUGCCAGGCAUGAGAGGAGCAUUGUUUCAAAGUUGUGUGGAUGUGGAAACAAACAAAAUGGAACCCUGCAGAUUUCCAGUGUGCAUGAGUGUGAGAGACAAAGGCUUUUAGCAAGGAAACCACGACUCUCUUCAUCUCAGCGUUGGUCUUAGAAAUACUGUAAGGAAACGUAACUUCAACUAACAAAUUGGCUUGACAUGUCCCAUUAAGAACAAAAUCGCAACAUGGGGAACUGUGGGUAAUUCUCUGCCUUCUGUUUUCUUGGUUGUACUGUAAACUAUUCUCAAAAUACGAAGGAGUGCCAAAAAUGACAUGCCAUUAGUGCAUCCAGGAGGAUCUCAUUUACAUCCCAUUACCCGCCACGCCAAGAGCUGCUAUCGCUGCACAUUCCGAGCGGGACCAGGGCUGCCUGGCAGAGGAGAGGCUGGGGAGGCAGUGCUGUGCCUGCCGACUGCUGAUGCCAUGGGACCUCUUUUAUGAAAAAAGCAAUUCUCUGAUAAUCACCACUGAAGCUGCAUCAUCAUUACUGUGAGAUCUGCUGCUCUGGACCGCUCCUGUGGGGAUACUGCAGUGCAUUUUUAUGAGGGAGUGCCGGACCUCCCUUGGCCAGAAUGAUCAGGAAGGCUUUUCAUGGGAGUCCAAGGAAAAUCCAGGUGGGGAGGAGAUGUGGGCUCUGCUCCCACCUCCUGCAAAAAAACAGGCUUAGCCAACACUGACGGCACCUUCCCAGGGCUAUCUGAGGGCUGAGAUAGCCUUCUCCAUCCUCCCAAAAGUGAGAGUAAUUUUAUGUGCCUAGCCUGCUGCCGGGGCUCCAUUUUCCUGAGCAUUUUACCCUGGGGAUGGAGUUUAGAUGAGGGAGCCCAGUCCUGCCCAAAGGGGCAUCCUUGGGAAUGGGUGGCCUUAAAAGCCCUGGGAGGCAGCCCAGGGGUGGGAGGGGUGGCUUGUUUGGGUCAGCAUUGCAUG